UACGAAGGGGGCUAGCGUUGUUCGGAAUUACUGGGCGUAAAGCGCACGUAGGCGGGUCGUUAAGUCAGGGGUGAAAUCCCAGAGCUCAACUCUGGAACUGCCUUUGAUACUGGCGACCUAGAGUUCGGAAGAGGUUAGUGGAAUUCCCAGUGUAGAGGUGAAAUUCGUAGAUAUUGGGAAGAACACCAGUGGCGAAGGCGACUACCUGGCCUGUUCUUGACGCUGAGGCGCGAAAGCUAGGGGAGCAAACGGG
rnacentral:rRNA from 1 species